ACGUAGGGGGCAAGCGUUGUCCGGAUUCACUGGGUGUAAAGGGCGCGUAGGCGGGUUGGUAAGUUAGAGGUGAAAUCCUACGGCUCAACCGUAGAACUGCCUCUAAUACUGCUAACCUUGAGUGCAGAAGAGAGAAGCGGAAUUCCAGGUGUAGUGGUGAAAUACGUAGAUAUCUGGAAGAACACCAGUUGCGAAGGCGGCUUCUUGGUCUGUUACUGACGCUCAGGCGCGAAAGCGUGGGGAUCAAACAG
rnacentral:rRNA from 1 species